UCAGAGGCUGUUCUCUUCAGGCCAGUUUCCUCUCUGAAAUCUUUCAGACAUUUCAUUCUUGUGCUGCUCGGGUAUGGGGUAUCAUUUCACAUGGGGGUUUUCAAACUGGAGACUCAUGAUUGUUACUCACAAUCUGGUUCCCUGCUGCUAGGCUAUAUGGCCCAGAAUCACUUGUCUGACGUCCUAAACUGGGAGCCAGUGAUGUAAAGAAUCAGGGACAGUGCAGAAUUAUUUCCAGAAGCAGUAGCAGCAAGAAUGUGCUCCAACCCAGACCCUGAUGCUUGGAUGAUCCAUCAAAGUUGGUCGUCUAUGCUCAUCUUGCUGCUUAAAGAAUAAAGAAUGAUGCGUCAGUUUCUUAGGGUGCUGAAACAAAUCAUCACAACUGUGGGGCUUAAAACAAGAGAAACUUAUUCUCUCCCAAUUCUGGAGGCCAGAAGUCUGCUAUCAAGGUAUCAUCAAGGCUGUGUUCCCUCUCAAGGUUUUAGAUCCGGCCUUGCUUCUCAGUUUCUGAGGUUGUUGGCCACCCUUGCCAUUGCUCGGCUUGUGGGUACACCACUCCAGUCUUUGCCUCCACUGUUACCUGACAUUCUUCUCCUAUGUCUAUUCGUGUCUCUUCCUCUUCUUGUAAAGAAACCAGUCAUGUUGGAUUAAGGGCUCACUUGACACCAGUAUGACCUCAUCCUAACUUAACUAACUGUGUCUGCAAUGGGCAUACUUCCCAAUAAGGCCACAUUCAGAAAUUCCAGGAAGGACAUGAAUUUGAGGGCCUACAAUCCGACUCUACACAGCUGCGGUGUCUCCCGUUCAGCCUUCAGCUAUUGCUGGGAUAAUGCUCCUGGUGUGCCCUCCUCACUAACGGAUCUGUUCUGACUUCCUUGGGCUCCAUGAAGGAGCAAGUUGGUGCCUUUUGACCUAUGGUAGAAAGUUGUGGAGGAGCAAGGAAAGGCCAAGGGCUCACUCCUGAGAGAGGAGACCCACUCUUUCACUGACAAUCCAGAGAGAAGGACUGGAUUCAAAUCCAGGUUUCUCAGAAGUUAGUAAAUACUUGUUUUUCUGCACACUCUGCAAGCCACUGUAGCAUCUGCAGGCUGGGAGGCGUGGCUCCUCAGUAUCGAGAAUGAACUUGAGGUCUUCUUUGGUAAUGGCAGAGCAUCGUUAUAAUGGGACAUGGGCACUGUUCCUCUGGGUUCUUCCUAAAUCACGAGGUUUGAAUUACACAUCAUCUGGGUAGUGGGAUCCAAAUCCAUCCUGGGUUUGCCAGCUCCAGGGCCUGAGUACCUGACCUUGGGCAUGGACAUAUUUGAAGUCUAGAACACACGGGCCAGAGCAGUGGAAAGUGAGCCUCAGACAGGCUCUCCUCACACCUUGGGGUCAGACAUGAUCCUGGGCAACUGACAAGCCCUUGCCUCUAAAAGACUCACACUCCAUUACAUUUUGCCAUUGCCAAUAUAGGGGGUGGGUGGGCUUGGUUUGGUUUCCAGGAACCAAAGAGAAUAAAUACAAAAGCGUUUGUACUAUAGAAGACUGAGUGGAGCAGAGAGAUAUGAGGGAAAGAAAGAAAGUGAAGUCGCACAGUCGUGUCUGACUCUUUGAGAUCCCAUGGACUGUA